GCUAUUAAUGGAUGAUACGAAUUAAGCGAUUAGACCAUUUUAUUUUUAGAGCGAACAAUAAAUUCUGUAGACCAAAUUCACUUUUACGUAAAAAAGAUAUAUCGUUAGUCCAUUGUAGACGGAUUCUAUUUUUAU
rnacentral:sRNA from 1 species